rnacentral:rRNA from 1 species
AGUGAACGCUGGCGGUAGGCCUAACACAUGCAAGUCGAACGGCAGCACAGGAGAGCUUGCUCUCUGGGUGGCGAGUGGCGGACGGGUGAGGAAUACAUCGGAAUCUACUUUUUCGUGGGGGAUAACGUAGGGAAACUUACGCUAAUACCGCAUACGACCUACGGGUGAAAGCAGGGGAUCUUCGGACCUUGCGCGUUUGAAUGAGCCGAUGUCGGAUUAGCUAGUUGGCGGGGUAAAGGCCCACCAAGGCGACGAUCCGUAGCUGGUCUGAGAGGAUGAUCAGCCACACUGGAACUGAGACACGGUCCAGACUCCUACGGGAGGCAGCAGUGGGGAAUAUUGGACAAUGGGCGCAAGCCUGAUCCAGCCAUACCGCGUGGGUGAAGGGGGCCUUCGGGUUGUAAAGCCCUUUUGUUGGGAAAGAAAUCCAGCUGGUUAAUACCCGGUUGGGAUGACGGUACCCAAAGAAUAAGCACCGGCUAACUUCGUGCCAGCAGCCGCCGUAA